rnacentral:lncRNA from 1 species
GGGUCGACUCAAACAUUCCUUGGGUCGACUCUCUCAGAAAACACAGAAACUUGAAAUUCAGCCUUCCUUCCCUUGGGUCGACCCAACCAUUCUUUGGGUCGACUCAAAGUUCACUUGGGUCGACUCAACUUCUUCUUGGGUCGACCCUCUCAGUAAUUCCAGAGAACCAUUUUCUGUCUUCUUUUCUGUCUUGCCUUUGGGUCGACCCACACAGGGUUUGGGUCGACUCAAGCUUGGGUCGACUCAACUUCAUCUUGGGUCGACCCUCUCAGUAAAUCCAGAGAACCAUUUUCUGAGUUGUUUUGAGGAUCUUGAUGUUUGGGUCGACUCAUGCUUUCCUUGGGUCGACCCAACACACUGUUCAUCAGUGCCAUUUUUGCAGAAGUGUGCCAAAUGAUUUCUUGAUGUGCCGGGGUCGACCCAAUCAUCCUUUGGGUCGACUCAAUCCACACUUUGCUGCAUCUCAAGGUUAGAUUCAUUCAAAUAAACAAUGAAAUGUAUCUAUAUCAAUUUAUAUAAAUAUACUGAGAGUAACAGACUUAUAAAUGAAGUAUCGUUUUAACUUAUAACAUACUCUUGUUAAAUGCUUGUUAAUCAUCAAAAUAACACUAUCAUCCUCAGGAGUGGUACAAUUCAUGACAGGCUGGGUAUCUAAUACUAUGAAGUCGACUGAAAAAUAGAAUUUAUCAAUUUGGACAAGU